rnacentral:rRNA from 1 species
GACGAACGCUGGCGGCGUGCUUAACACAUGCAAGUCGAACGCUGAAGCCUAGCUUGCUGGGUGGAUGAGUGGCGAACGGGUGAGUAACACGUGAGUAACCUGCCCUCUUCUUUGGGAUAACGCCCGGAAACGGGUGCUAAUACUGGAUAUUCACUGAUUCUCGCAUGGGGGUUGGUGGAAAGGUUUUUUCUGGUGGGGGAUGGGCUCGCGGCCUAUCAGCUUGUUGGUGGGGUGAUGGCCUACCAAGGCUUUGACGGGUAGCCGGCCUGAGAGGGUGAUCGGUCACAUUGGGACUGAGAUACGGCCCAGACUCCUACGGGAGGCAGCAGUGGGGAAUAUUGCACAAUGGGCGAAAGCCUGAUGCAGCGACGCCGCGUGAGGGAUGGAGGCCUUCGGGUUGUAAACCUCUUUCGCUCAUGGUCAAGCCGCAACUUAGGGUUGUGGUGAGGGUAGUGGGUAAAGAAGCGCCGGCUAACUACGUGCCAGCAGCCGCGGUAAUACGUAGGGCGCGAGCGUUGUCCGGAAUUAUUGGGCGUAAAGGGCUUGUAGGCGGUUGGUCGCGUCUGCCGUGAAAUCCUCUGGCUUAACUGGGGGCGUGCGGUGGGUACGGGCUGACUUGAGUGCGGUAGGGGAGACUGGAACUCCUGGUGUAGCGGUGGAAUGCGCAGAUAUCAGGAAGAACACCGGUGGCGAAGGCGGGUCUCUGGGCCGUUACUGACGCUGAGGAGCGAAAGCGUGGGGAGCGAACAGG